rnacentral:rRNA from 1 species
UGCGGUUAUACAAAAAUUAAAUUAAAUUUUUUUAGGAUUUAAUAAGUAAAUAUUAAUUUAAUAAUUUAAAUUUUAAAUUAUAAGGUGAAAUUUUAAUUUAAUUAAAAUUUAUUUAUUUUUAUUACAUUAAUAAAUUUUAUAAAAAACUAGGAUUAGAUACCCUAUUAUAAAAAUUUAAAUUUAAUAAUCUUAAAAUAGUAUAUAUUUUUAUAGAAACUUAAAUAAUUUGGCGGUAUUUUAGUUCAUUUAGAGGAAUCUGUCUAAUAAUUGAUAAUCCACGAUUAAAUUUACUUAAUUUUCAAUUUUGUAUAUCGUUGUUAAAAAAAUAUUUUUAAAUAAUUAUAAUAUUUUAAAAUUUGAAUAAAAAAUUAAAUCAGAUCAAGAUGCAGAUUAUAAUUAAGAAUAUGAUGGAUUACAAUAAAUUUUAUUUUUGGAUAUUAAUUUGAAAAAAUUAAUUAAAAUUGGAUUUAAAUGUAAUUUUAUUAAUUUUAUUAAAAUGAUUUAAAAUUAAAAUAUGUACAUAUUGCCCGUCGCUUUCAUUUAUAAAUUGAAAUAAGUCGUAACAAAGUAGAGGUACUGGAAAGUGUUUCUAGAAAGAU